GUAUGAAUGGCUGCAUGAGGACCAAACUGUCUCCUUUGACUAAUCAAUGAACCUGAUCUCCCAGUACAAAAGCUGGCAUUAAACCAUAAGACGAGAAGACCCUGUGGAGCUUCAAAUAUAAAUACUAGCCAACACUUUACCCCACGGACCCACACCGCCAACAUAGUAUAUAUUUUUAGUUGGGGCGACUGCGGAACAAAACAAAACUUCCAUGACAUAGGGCCACCCGCCCCUACCCAGGUCAACAAACCACGCACCACUUGACCCAGUAAUACUGACCAACGAACCAAGUUACCCCAGGGAUAACAGCGCCAUCCUCUUCAAGAGCCCCUAUCGCCAAGAGGGUUUACGACCUCGAUGUUGGAUCAGGACCCCCAGGUGGUGCAACCGCUACCAACGGUUCGUUUG
rnacentral:rRNA from 1 species